CUGGAAGCUAAACCUGAGGAGAGAAACACUUACCAAGAAAGUGAGGAGAAGCCUCGUCUUCUUGGAUAAACACAUGUCGAGCACCAGGAGGGAUAUCAAACAUCUUAAGCACUUCAUGUGAUGCACAGGAACUGUAAUGACAAAGAAGACAAAAGCAGAGCACUGGCUUAGAGGUCUUCUUACCUUGGCGUACCCCAACAUGAUCAUCCGGACCAGCACAACAUUUAUGUGAACACCCAGGGAUUCAUCAUGACUUCUCAGCAGAGGAUUCAAGUCUCCAGUCAUUUCCAUGCAGUGAGAAAUGCAGCUGAGCCUUCCCCUCAUCACCUGCCCCUGCACAGGGAGCCUUCUGAGCACAUGGCAAGGUCCCUCUCAAGUUUAACAACCUUUGGAGCAGGGCCCACAGAAAAAGUGAUGGGGGGAAAAAACAGACUUUGAUUUCAAACCCUGCAAAAGUUUAAUGUCACUCAGCUGAUAAACACAGGGAGGGGAAUGAGGUUAUUCCUGCAAACAAGGUCACAGCAGCAUCUCCAAGUGUGCUGAGGGAUUUAAGAGCAGAUCAAGUUUGUUUUAACAACAGACAAAACAAUCACCUCCUGUCCCAGGUGCCACCUCUGUGACUCCAUCUGGCCACUGACUGCAGAGGAAUUCCAGGUUCUGCUCUUUUUUGUUUCAUCCCCCAUUUGUCUCCUUGCAAUCUGUUUACCCACAGAGGAUGAGCAGUUCAGUGGGGAGAGCAAGUGAGUGAGCCUAUUUUUGUUAAUUUUGUAGAAGAUUCUGUAGCCAGCAGCUCUAACUCAAGGAAAUGUUAACUUCAGCACAGGUUUGUCCUCAAAAAAUACUUGAGGAUUUGACUUAAAAGCCAUUUUUGCAAGCUGAAGCUCUAGGCUGGGAGGGCAGGAUGUUGAGACACCAACAUGAAUGACAAGGCUGGGUUCCUGCACAUGUGCAGGCAGGAGUUUAGCUUUAGAGUGUGAAUAACACUCUUGAUUCUACAUGUAAUCUGAAAACCAAUGGGCAAAGUGUUUUCAGGUAACAGAAAUGGUUUGGAAAUUUUCAUCUCAAUGUUUUAAAGUCAACAGCACUGCCAGAGGCAUUAAUUGCUGCUGAAUACCUUACAGGGUCACAAUAGCUCCAAUCAGACUUCAGUUCUGCAAGUCCACAAGUUCUGUUCAAAAAAAUUCACCAGCUGCAUGAAAACAUUCACCUUUAUGCUGGAAAAGUUUCUGGAAAGUAAAAAAGUAAAUUCUGGAAAGAUUUACUAUAUUAAACACAAGUGCCAGCCUGAGAAAACACCCACCAGAGAGAACACUACAGCUCUGCUCCUCACUGAACAACUGAUGUAUUUCAGGGUGGGUUUUAUUUGGAGGAAUUAUUUUAGAAGCAACUAAUAGGGCUGCCCUACUUUUUAGAGAUCAACUAGAAUUAUGUGGUCACUUUUGUACUAAAAAGAGUAGUUGUGGAAGUUAAGAACACGGAAUUAUACAGGGUCAAAAAUUGUUCUGCUUGUGUCUGGUAAGGUGAGAAAUGUCCUGCCACCAGAGUGUAAAUUAGGGGGUCAAAACAUCUGCAUGCCAUCAAUGAAGUUACUCAUCCCCCUAAAAACAAAAUAAAUACUGUACUAUGGGUAAGGAGAAAUAAAAUACCACUGUUCAGAGGCUGGCAUAUUUCAGCAGGAUUUAGAAGUGUUGUUUUGUUGGGUUUUUUUAAGUCAUGCUGAACAGAACUUCCCCCUUCCCCUCUGGGAAAAAGGUCACUUGAGCUGUCCAGCCUGGGGACCUGGCACAACCAUUUUAGAUUUUAAAAAAUGCAACAGACUGUCAGCAGCACUGUUUUCCAGGGAAGGAGCAUGGGACUCAGACUCUCUGUCUUGUGAAGCAAUUAUUCCAAAGUUCAGUUCUUCAGCUUGUAUCUCCUCCCCAUCCCUGCAGUACCAUUGCUCCCACAGGCUUCUGGGUCAGCAAAAAAGUCACCAUUGCCUUUGUGCCAAGAAACAAGAAGAUUCCCAGGAGGGACCUUCCUAGAGACAAAGAGGACCCUGGAACUGACCUAAAAAUUCAAGUUGCUUUCAGGAUUUCUCUGCAACACCCACUUUUUUACCCCAUUCUCUGCAUAUUGCUUUGGAGGGCUUCACUGCAGGAUUCCCAGGAGGAGCAUAGCAGGUCUUGUGAUGGAACACAGGGAAUGUGGGGAGUCUGCAGCCUUGCCAGAAGGACACAAAUCUAAACAAAAGUGCUAAAAAGGUCAAUGUAGCCUGCAGUGCUUCCAGACCACUGGAACUGCCAUUGCUGAUAGUCUGGCAGGAAGGACAGGACUGUGACAAGAAUAAUUCCUUCUAAAAGGGGUGACAAUCUUUCUUUCCUACAGCUUCUCCAGGCAGCAACGUCCAGGGUUCUGUGCUGACAGCUGCUCCCAGGAGAUGGAGCCACAGACAUUUAAGAAAAUGGGGAAGAGUUUUGGGACUGUAACUGCUCUGCUCUUCACAAAGUUACACGUUCUUGAAAAAACAUCCUGAAAUCCUCUUCACUGAAGAUCUGUUGUGGAUGCUCAC